CCUGACAACACAGACUUCUAAUCGAUACACGAAGAUGUGAGAAGAAAGGAGAGAACUGAGUUGUUGCUUAGCUCCUGACCAGAGCGAACUAGAAGAGAACUAGAAGAGAACUAGAAGAGAACUAGAAGAGAACUAGAAGAGAACUAGAAGAGAACUAGAAGAGAACUAGAAGAGAAUUAGAAGAGAACUAGAAGAGAACUAAGGUAACUUGGACCUAGGAAUCAACUGGCCGGACAAAACUUGAGAGUUCAUUGGCACCAUUCCACUAAGUUGUCAUAGGCAGGGCCAGGGGCCUAGAGAUCUCCCGAUCAAGUCUGGCUGUGUAUCAGCCUAUAUAUGUGAUGUGCAAUAGAACAAUGAAAAAGCUUCACCUAACAAUGUUGCUUGUGAUUCUCUAUUGUUUUGUACCUAGUAGUACAGGCUCGUACCCGUCUACUAGGACUGUGUACUAUCUCCACACUUCACCCACUACAUGGAUGGGAGCCAGUGAAACAUGCGAACGUUACGAUGGUCAUUUGGUCAAAGCUGACAAUGUCACUUCAUUGAGAGCUGAUUUUCAAACUUUGGAUAUUCAGCUGAAUAGGAAAUAUAAAUUCUCAAAUUUAACAAGCAAAGUUUGGGUUGGCCUGUAUAAAGCUGGAGGUAAGGAACUAAUGUGGCAUAAAUGUCACAAUGUGACAAAUGUCGACAAUAUCUAUGGUCAACUGUCGUCCAGCAGUGAAUCUUGUGUCAGCAUGGAUACAAACUACCAACUUAGUCCAACCAAAUGUACUGAGGAGCUGCCUUACAUCUGUCAAGUUGAUGAAGGUCAGUGCUGGUUUCUUCCAGUUGAAAAUAAACAAUUUAAAAUGGCAUCCAAUGAAACGUCAACAGAUGGUUUAAAUGAAUGUGCAAAAAAAUGCAGAAAUCGUGAUCGGAACAACAGCAUUGAAUGUUGGGCAUUUUACGUUGACUCCUCCAAUGCCACGUGUCACUUAUAUCUGACUUCAGAGAGACAUACCUAUCUAUUAAAUAGUGGUUCCUACUUGACGGCCUCAGUUGAUACAACUGUUUAUCUGAAAGUUUGUGUCGGAGGAGAUACAUCUAGCAUGAAGGCUCUAUCCAGUGCAGCAAGUUAUCCUGCUCUAGCAAACUGUACUCAUUACAAAGAUGAAGACAGUUGGCUGGAGGCUGUUUGCUACUGCGAUUGUGACCAACCCCCUAUCAUACUCUCACCUGAAUACCUUGUACUAACACCUGAGGAAAAGAUUGAAAAGAUCAUCAGUGAACUACUUGUGGAUGCCUCCAAUACAUCAGCAUCUUUUAGAAAACUGAAUAGUAUAGAUGACAAGAGACCAAGUGCACGAAGUAUUGGCUCCCUGGGAAUAAUAUUAAUAUGCUUAGUAAAUCAAUCUACAAUAAGAUGGUGCGCAAAUGUUUCAUUAGGCCAAUAGAUUCAUUCAAACAUGUUCUUGUUUGCUAAGAAAUGUCUUAGUGUACUACUGGGAGCCUAGUGACUAUUUGGAGGCAUUGUACUGUUGGAUCUGAACGUCUUGGUCUCGCAUAUUUCAGCACUGAUUGGUACAUCAAAGGACAGCAACUCUAAUAAAAAAUGAAUCAAA